rnacentral:lncRNA from 1 species
AGUUCUUCCAGUCUAUGUUUAAGGUGGCCAGAGAUAGUCAUAAUGAAGUAACGGAUAAAUGGCUGCAAUCUCCCCUACUCCUCCACCCACACCCACCCCUCCCACACCCUGCUUAUUGGUUCUGUGUCUUUAGAUAAAUCAAAUAAGGCAAUAAGACGAGCCAUGAGAUUUUGGAUAUAUAUGUAUAUCAACAUCAGCGAAGGAUCUGGGGAUGUGGCUCAGGGGUUAAGGACACUUGCUGCUCUCAUAGAAGACUGGAGUUUGGUUUCCAGCACCCACAUCAGGUGGCUCCUACCGUCUGUAACUCCAGAUCAAGGGGACCUGAUGCCUUCUUCUGGUCCCUGAAGGGCAGAACCCUGGGACUGCCCUCCAGAGAGCUGGAGGGAGGCGCACUGUUCUCGGAUUCUCUGAAGGACGUUUAAUUCUUCAAUCAGAUCCUGAAGGCAAAGACAUCCAAGACAAGCUAAGGAAAAUGACUGCUGAAGGUUCUACCGAGAACAACUCACAUCUCAUUCUUCAUGGACUGAGAACGUGAGACAAAGAUUCAUCGAUGGUGCCAGGGAAUUUACCGAGAGCUAACAGUAGAACAUGACCUUUCACCCGGAUGAACGUGUGUCAAGUAAGAAGAUAAUUGAAGUAUGAUGACAACAGAGAUGCAAAGGCUGUGUGGUUUAAGUACUCUUCUUACCUGCAACAGGAGGUUGCAUAGAGUGUUUCCAUGAUUUGUAGAAUUCCAGGUCUCUCCACCACCUUGUCUUUCUCAGCUUGCUUUUUCUCUCCUUCCCUCGUUUAUACACAAUAUCCUGACCUUGCUAUAGCUUGUGCAGCACGUGGUUGGGACAUGUGGCUGGCUGUAGAACUUCGUGCUGAUUAAUUUAGCCUCCCUCUGAAGCAGCCUCCUGAUACUUGUUUUGUAGCCUCCUGAGUGUCUAGGGCCACUUUCUUUGGUGAAUGCUUUAGUUUUCAUGGGGCUAGAGCAGAAACGAGUGGUGGUGAAAACUGUCAAGUUAGUGAACGUAGCGACAAGGGAGUUUUUACUUCUCUGGGGUUCCUAGUUAGUCCUGAAAACACCGCUAUUAAAGUCAUCAUUAAACAGAU